UCAGGACGAACGCUGGCGGCGUGCUUCAUACAUGCAAGUCGAACGAGAAGCGUCACUUCGGUGAGUGGAAAGUGGCGGACGGGUGAGUAAAAUGUAGAGAAUCUACCCUUGAGAGGGGGACAACAGUUGGAAACGACUGCUAAUACCCCAUAUGAGCGUACCUGCAAUGGUAUUCUUGAAAACUCCGGUGCUCAAGGAUGAGCCUGCAUCUGAUUAGCUAGUUGGUGGUGUAAUGGACUACCAAGGCGACGAUCAGUAGCUGGUUUGAGAGGAUGAUCAGCCACAAUGGGACUGAGACACGGCCCAUACUCCUACGGGAGGCAGCAGUAGGGAAUUUUGCGCAAUGGGGGAAACCCUGACGCAGCAACGCCGCGUGAACGAGAAGCCCUUCGGGGUGUAAAGUUUUGUCAGUGGGGACGAACAAAUGACGGUACCCACAGAGGAAGCACCGGCUAACUCCGUGCCAGCAGCUGC
rnacentral:rRNA from 1 species